AGCUCACAGGAUCUAUCAAUAGUGUUAGAGAAUAAUAUAAAUCAUAUCCCGGGACCUCACCUAAGAGCUUAAGCUAUUGGGUUAAGAUAGUUCUUUGACAUGAUAUCAGAGCCUUGAUAAUCAAGCGGUCACGAGUUCGAAUCUCACCAUCCCUAUUUAUUUGAUAAAAAUUAAGCACAAGAUAAUGUGAGUCUGUAUAAGUUUCGAGCCCAAAAAACUUUCACUUGAGAGGGAGUGUUA